rnacentral:lncRNA from 1 species
CUAAAAUGAUAUCAUUAGCAGGACAUUCACAUAUUUCUAAGAGAGGUCUAACAUCCAGUUAUUUACAAAUCAUUGCAUUGUUCACACAACUAUACUAUGCAAUUAAAAUGAAAUAGAAUAUGAGAACUUCAAAUGGUAAAUCACGUAGCAUUUCAUCAUUUAUCUUCCAAUUACAUUGACACUUGUAGAUCACAUGAGAGUAGAAGAGUACCUGGAGAUUGAAAUAGGAACAUAAAUAGUGAAGUAUCAGUAGUGCAACAACAAGGAUCAACAACAUCAACAACAACCAUA